rnacentral:rRNA from 1 species
GCGCAGCAGGCGCGAAACCUCCGCAAUGCACGAAAGUGUGACGGGGCCAUCCCGAGUGCCGUCCGCUGAGGACGGCUUUUCCCCAGUGUACAUAGCUGGGGGAAUAAGGAGAGGGCAAGCCUGGUGUCAGCCGCCGCGGUAAUACCAGCUCUCCGAGUGGUGGGGACGCUUAUUGGGCCUAAAGCAUCCGUAGCCGGCUGGGCAAGUCCUCCGUUAAAUCCAACGAUUCAAUCGUUGGGCUGCGGGGGAUACUGUCCAGCUUGGGGGCGGGAGAGGCCGACGGUAUUCCCGGGGUAGGGGUGAAAAUCCUAUAAUCCCGGGAGGACCACCAGUGGCGAAGGCUGUCGGCUAGAACGCGCCCGACGGUGAGGGAUGAAAGCCGGGGGAGCGAACCGGAUUAGAUACCCC